GACGAACGCUGGCGGCGUGCUUAACACAUGCAAGUCGAACGAAGAGCGAUGGAAGCUUGCUUCUAUCAAUCUUAGUGGCGAACGGGUGAGUAACGCGUAAUCAACCUGCCCUUCAGAGGGGGACAACAGUUGGAAACGACUGCUAAUACCGCAUACGAUCUAAUCUCGGCAUCGAGGAUAGAUGAAAGGUGGCCUCUACAUGUAAGCUAUCACUGAAGGAGGGGAUUGCGUCUGAUUAGCUAGUUGGAGGGGUAACGGCCCACCAAGGCGAUGAUCAGUAGCGGGCAGGAGGGGAGGAGCGACCACAUUGGAGUGGAGACCGGCCCGAGACCCAUAGGGGAGGCAGCAGGGGGGAUUCUCCGGCAAGGGACGAGGGUGUGAGGGAGCAGCGCCGGGUGGGGGAGGAGGCCUUUGGGGUUGAAAAGCUUGUUUAAUCGGAAGGAAAGGUCUUCUGGCGAAUAGGGAGAGGGAUGGAGGGUACGGAAAAAGAAAGCCAGGGCUAAUUAGGGC
rnacentral:rRNA from 1 species